UACGUAGGGGGCUAGCGUUGUCCGGAAUCAUUGGGCGUAAAGCGCGUGUAGGCGGUUCGGUAAGUCCGCUGUGAAAGUCGAGGCUCAACCCUCGAAAGCCGGUGGAUACUGUCGGGCUAGAGUGCGGAAGAGGCGAGUGGAAUUCCUGGUGUAGCGGUGAAAUGCGCAGAUAUUGGGAAGAACACCGGUGGCGAAGGCGGCUCACGUGGCUCAUUACUGACGCUCAGGCGCGAUAGCGUGGGGGAUCAAACAGG
rnacentral:rRNA from 1 species